GACAGCGCCGCCGGCCGUGGGGAGCGGACGCAGUGAUUUGCUCCCCCUCGUGCAGCAACCCCCACACCCAGCACCAGGUGGGUGUGAGCUGGCGACCCGGUCACGCAGCGGGGAGCCGCGGCCCCCAGAACUCUCCUUCCAGCUGAACUCCCUGGGAACAAGUCAGUUGGGCUGAUCACUGAACUCACAUUUCUGGACCUGAGGUACCACACUUCUAGUACCUGCGUGCUGGUGGGGAGCCUGUUCCUCUCACGCCCUCACCUGGCUGAGCCGCAGUAGUUCUUCAGUGGCAAGCUUUAUGUCCUGACCCAGCUAAAGCUGCCAGUUGAAGAACUGUUGCCCUCUGCCCCUGGCUUCGAGGAGGAGGAGGAGCUGCUUUCCCCAUCAUCUGGAAGGUGACAGAAAUGGGCUGGGAAGGUCCGAACAGCAGGGUGGAUGAUACGUUUUGGGCAAGUUGGAGAGCCUUUGCCCAGAUUGGCCCAGCAAGGAGCGGUUUUAGAUUAGAGACACUGGCUGGAUUGAGGAGUAGAAGGCUCAAACAACCCAAGGCUUUCUGCCUCCGAGAUGUGGCACCAUAGUGCGGUGCCCUGUGGCUUCACCGCCCUACUUCCACCUCCGCCCAGCCUGUAAUGUUUAUAUAAGCAGCCUCAAGGACCAAGAACCAUCUGCGAAAGGACACACACAGGAAAUUCAUAAAAGAAAUCUGAAUGGAUAAAACCAUGAAAAAAAGUAUGCUUCAUUAGUAAUUAAAGAAAGGCAAAUAGAGCUGGAAGCAUUUUUCCCUUAGCAAACCAUAACAGAAAAAAAUAAGACCCAAUAUUGGCAAAGAGACUACUGAAAAAACAUUCCCAUACAUUGCGUGUGGGAGUAUACAUCGGUGCAGGCUUCCUGGAUGACAGUUGGGUGAUAUGUGUCAUGUGGCCUAAAAGCCUCCAUGUCAUUUGACCUACGAAUUCUAUCUUUGGGAAUUUAUCCUAAGAAAAUACUUAAGGAUUUAGUUAGUGAUAAGAUGUUCAUCCCAGCAUUGCAAUGGAGAAAAAUGGGAAGCAAUGGUUUGGUUGGGAAUUUAUUCCUUUUCUGCUGUAACGAAAGUUUGCAAUAGGGGAUUGCUUAAGUAAAUUAUUGUAUCUCCAUCCAGAUGGUGGAGUACCGCGCAGACAUUAAAAGUCAUGUAAAAGAACAUCUGACUGAAAGAAAAAUGCUCCUUGAAUAUUAAAAGGUUGUAAAAAUAGUGCAUGUUAUGUGAUUUCAAUUUUGUUUUUUAAAAUAUGGGUGUAUGCUUGUAUACGUAGAGCAGAUAAAAAAGACGGAAGGCAUACUAAAAAAUGUUGAGUGGUUAUCUUUGUAUGGUGGAACAAAGUCACUGUAAUUUUCAUCUUUGGUUUUUCUGUAAUUUCCAAAUUUUCCACAUUUUGUAUUUCAUAUAAUAUAAUUUAAGAGAUCA
ensembl:lncRNA MIR22HG MIR22 host gene